rnacentral:sRNA from 1 species
UGUGGGACUUUUAAAGUUAUUUAGAUCUUGGGGAUGAAUAAGAAAGUAAGGUUUGAAGCUUAAUGAUGAUGUAUUUGUGUCAAACUGACAAGGGGUUUUGUGCAGGAUAUUUUUUGUGCAUGAUGUUUUGUGCAGGAAGAGAAACCCUGACUAAGACACACUGGCUACUAGGAACCCUGUUUCAAAGCAAAACAAAACUUAACAGAUGCAGAGGCACUCGUGCCUGGACUGGCAGAAGGUAAGCUACAGCUCGUUACUAUUAAGAAGCACACUAUGGGUGGAAAUUUAAGAUGCUAAAGAAACCUGAAACAGAGAACUGAAUGCCGAACUACAGGUAACAGCAUGUGUUAUAACCCCCGUUACCUGACAUAGCCUCCAACUCUGUACAGCACAGAGUCUGAGCGGCUCUAGUCUUGCUGGGUCCUUGGAAGCAUAUGUGUUCUUCCUUAGUAUGUUAUCUCUGUCUAUGAUAAAUUCUUCCUUUGGGGACCCAAGAACUCGAACCCUUUCUGGAAAUGUCCACAGAACCCCCAUAUCAGCCAAUAUCAAUAGGAAAUCUUUAGUUUCCGGUAAUUUGAGAAGAACCUGUAGAAGAGAAAGCCAGGAGGGAGCUACUAGUUCUAUGAACCACUCUAUCAUCCCCUGGCCCACCAGGGUUCUUUCGUAGGGCAGUCUAGAAGCAUGGCCGGCGGCGUGAGGCUAGAAAGGCUGGCAUCGCUUGCUCCUGGUUCCAUGGUAUCAUUCUGACCUAUAUUCAGGUGGUUCCUCCUGCUUUUCUUUUCUGGACACUGGAAAUGCGAGUCCGUGUGAAGAAGACUCAGAGGACAAGUGAGCCCCGAGCAUAAUCUGCUGUGUUGGAUUCCUUGGAACACCACCAGACGGUAGGAGGGGCUUCUGGAGCUCGCCCUAGAAUCAGCUGGUCAGUGGCUGUAAGUUUUCUUUAUGCGAGGGGGCGGGGUGGUGGUGGUGAACUGCAGGUUUCCUUACGGAGUGGUGGGGCGACUGGAAGGGAGGCGACACAAAGCUACUUUACUGGAUGAAGAAUGCUAAAAAUGUGUGUGAGGAAGCUGAGCGGAAGCUGAGCCUUGAGAGGUGGAAGCAUGCCCAAGGUAUGAUGGCAGGAACCUGGCCAGAGAGAGGAAGCGAAGCAGAAGCGGCAGGGAAUGUUGAGUCAUGGAUGAGCCACGGGUGAGCCUUGGGUGAGCCACGGGUGAGCCUUGGGUGAGCCUCCGGUGAGCCUCGGGUGAGCCACAGGUGAGUGUGACAAGACUUCUUGGGAGAGAGGCUUCAGUGAGCAGCUCCUCUAAUUGGUGGUGGUGGGGACAAUGACUAUUUAAACCUUUUUGGGGAGAUGGGAUGGGGUAGAGGGGUGAGUAGGGGCUAUGGGGUGAGUGUAUAUCCUUGGUUUGAGCAGGUACUGCGGAUGCCUCAUUUGCAUAACCAGGUGCUCGCUGCAUGUGACCUUAUAAGGAGAAAGGAAGUUCAACUUGUAACUUGGAGACCAGGUUAUAUGACUAAGGCCUCCAGAUUAAAGCCGAAACAGAAGUAAACCCGAAUCAGAACCCGAUAUGGACAAGACAAAAGACUACAGUGAGGCCGUACUUACAGAUGGGAAAAAAACCAGGGUCUCUGGUAAAUCCUGGAGGAGCCCACAAACGUAAGGGUCUAUGAUUCAUUGAAGAGCGACACCCCAACUCAAAUGCUGUGCAAAUGCAAAGAGUGUUUUAUUCUGCAGACGUCCAGCAUGCUGGGGUCUCCCAUUACCAAGACAGAGAGACACCCAAGUAAGCUUGCAGGCCUGGUUUAAAGCACAUUAGAGAAUUCCAGGGCAGGUGGCCUUUGCCUCACUCUAUCUCUAUGGACAUCCCGUUUCCUGAGUGUGGGGGCUGGCUAGAAACUGUGGACCCGUUGUCCUUGCCUCAAGCCAGGCGGUGGGGCAGUUUCUAAUGGCAGAGCAGUUUCUGACUGGCUGCCUGUAGCCUGGGUUUUUAAGCCCUUAUCUCUCGAACUGUCCAUUUGAAGUCUGUCAUGGAGUCAGCCUGUCUCAUCAGUUAUGUAAACCAUCCAGGAGAGUGAGCUCUCAAAGAGUGGUGACCAGGAGAAAGGAAUGGGAAUAUUGCCGUCCAUGUUUAAGUUUGGAGAGAUGAAAUCGUGCUAGAGGUAGAUGGCAGGGGUGACUGUGUAACAGGGAUGUACUCACUACCUCGAAGUGGAGAUGUGGUUGAAUGGUUCAGAUUUUACUGCAAUUAAAAAAUGUUAGAUGCUGGGGCUGGGGAUUUAGCUCAGCGGUAGAGCGCUUACCUAGGAAGCG